GCUGAUAUAAUUGAUAGGUUCAUUGCCUUCAAAAUAAAUCAAACGGAUGGCUAAUUAUCAUUCUUUGAUCACAUAAAAUAUUGCGAUUUUCUUCUGGAAAACUUUAUUAAUUCCUUCUUUGUGUUCAAACCGCCAUAGUCCUCACAAUCGGAUUUAAUUUCUUUUGUACCUUAUGUAACACGUGACUUGGAAUCUCUGUGCACGUGACAUGAAAGCUUGGUUCUGUCUUUGAAUUUCUAUCAUUCAAGUUUUAACUUCAUCUCUGAGAAGAAUUAAUAGAAGUUUAGGCAUAUUAAUUCAUUAGGUUUAUGUAUACCGCUGAAGUUACAGCCGUUGUUCUCUCUUUCCUUACUGAAGGGAAUUUGGUACGCCUUCGCAGGAAAAAAAAUAAGCUUGCAAUGAAAGUUGAUAAUCCACGUGGAUGUUAUUACGUCCUCCAGUAAUAUGACAAUAAUCAUCAAACGAGCUUUAAUUGUCCGAUAUUGUUUGUAUUGUCGACAAUAUACUGUUUACAAUUAAAGUAAGUUACGGGUUAAGUAGUACUCGUGUAUUAUAUUUAAACUUUUAAUCAUAUUACGUAUUACAUCGGGGAAUAUAUUAAUUGCCGUCACCACUCUUAAAAGUUUUGGAUGUA
rnacentral:lncRNA from 1 species